CUUGGCCUGGAUUGGGGCAAGGACCAAGCUUGAUAGGGAUGUUUUGGGUGUUGAUAGCCUCAACCACUUUCCCUUCCCCUGCUGGGUGGACCAGGUGUGCUCACAAAGAAAAGAUAGUUGGGGUGGUGGUAAAUAGGUUGGUGUUUCCCAGCAUAGGACUCCAGAAACAUUUAGGGUUGAGGAUGAGAGGACUAUGUCCAUAUGUGUGUAUGUUUCCCUUUGUGGGAAGGGAAAAGUGAUGGGUAGCUCAAACUCCCUGCAUCCCUCACAGUGCUCAAAGGAUUGGUCAUCAGUGCCCGGAAACAUCUGGAUCUGGGCAUUACAGAUGAUGAAAUAAUGGACAUUACACAAGAGGCAGUGUCCUUCAAGGCUUAUCUCACCCUCAGGCUUCUCUUCAAUUGUUGGUCCCUGAAGAGCAACAGCAAGUGUAUCUGCCAACUUAUGGAUGCUCUGGCUCUUAGUGGCUGUGGAGGUAUAAACUUGGAAUCCCAGCUGGAAAAUAUUAUAGGUAUACUGUUCAAUCAGGUGAGUGCUGUGGGGCUAGAAGCAUCCUGGGCUUGCUUUUUCUCUCUUCUUUGGAGGUGAUGGCUACUGCAGCCCAGGUCACAACCUCCAUAAAUGCAGGUGUCUUUCACAUGGUGACCUUAGCCAUACAGAUCUCAGGUUUCCCUGGAACAGGUAAAUGCCCAGAUUCUGGGCAUAGACUCGGAUAUUCUCCAUGAGGUAAAUUGGGUACAUUCUGUGUGUUUCUUGAAGGUCACAGACCUUUGUUGCUCCCUCUAAUUUCUGGUUAAAGGGCAGAAGGUUCAAAGCACUCCAUCAUGCCUGUGGGAAAUGUCAGGCCCUCUGUGUUGCAGCCUAGAGUAGGAAGAAGAUAAUUGAACAUUUUGCAAAAAGGUGUUAACUUCUAUAUGUUUAAUUUGCUUGCCACUGGGGGCUGGGAAUGUGGAUUCCUGGGUUCUAUUUUCCUAUUCUCCUUUAUUACUAAGCACCACACUUUCCAUGGAUGCAUGCCUUGGUUCCUCCAUCCACACCCAUGGCCCCUAGUUUCAGUCCUCCCAGGUCUGAUGGCCUUGGUCUCCCCACAGCUGAAUGAAACAGUCAAGGACUCAGAUCCUCACUCUGCACAGAACCACAGCCUUGCCCUGAAGGCUUUCUACAUCCUCAACAAGAUGCAAAGUAAUCCAUGUGAGCUUCGCUUGAAAUUCAAGGAAUCUUGAGGGGCAAAGACAUAGCUCCACUCCCUUCACCUGAAGUUGGCUUCCCUUUCUCCUUCAGUGAAUCCCAGCUUAGAAAGGUGAUCUUGUCAUUACAACAUUGAUGAUCAUGCGAGGUG
rnacentral:lncRNA from 1 species